rnacentral:rRNA from 1 species
AUGGAGGUGGUGACCGGAGCUAUGACCACCCUCCUGCCCACGCUCAUGAGACUGCUCAAGGAGGAGUAUGACCUGCACAAGAACACCAGGGGUGAGAUCAGGUUCCUCAAAACCGAGCUGGAGAGCAUGGAGACCGCCCUCCUCAAGAACAUAUAG